rnacentral:ncRNA from 1 species
CGCAUAAAUAGAGGUGCAGAUAAUAAGGUAGCAUUAGGAUGUUAAGGAAAGGAACUUCCGAAGCCUAAUGUGAAGGGGUUGUCUGCCGAAAGGAUUUAUCGGUUCCUAGAUAUAUCCUUGGUGAUGGAGCACAACGCCCUAUCACUGUCAUGGUUUGCCAUGAAGCGCUAUUUAUGCA